UAGCAGCUGAAAAGACAGGGAAAUCAGGGCCAGAGUAAAUAGCAGUCAGUGCUAGUGUUAUCCUCGAACAAUGCCUCCUCAUUGAGCCAAGCAUGACUUUUGGGAGCUUUGUCAGUCCCUGUACAUGCAGGCACCUCGCAUUCUCCAUCCAGCUAAUCACAAUUGCCAGCCACCCAUCCUAGACUCGUCACCAGCAGCCCACUUAACCCCAGCUCUCAUUCACAUUCUGCGUUCACUCAUCGAACCAGCUGGUCUUGCUCCUAACUUUAACUCUCCCUGCCUAAUGCUCACCUGUUGUGUCUAGUUUCUGCCUUAUCUUGUUGUGUGGCCCCUCCUAGAAUUAUAGAAAAGUACAGCACAGAAAGAGGCCUUUCAGCCCAUCUACACCAUGCCAAACCAUUUAAACUGCCAACUCCUGUCAUCGUGGGCCUGGACCAUACCCCUACCAUAUAUUGUACCUACGUUGAAAUCUCCACCUGCACUGGCAGCGAGUUCCACACUCUCACCACCCUCUGAGUGAAGACGUUUCCCUUCAUGCCCCCCUUAAACUUUUCACCUUUCACCCUUAGCCCAUGACCUCUGGUUGUAGGCCCACCCAACCUCAGUGGAAAACGUCUGCUUACAUUUACCGCUCAAUUUUGUAUAGCUUUAUCAAAUCUCCUCACAGUCUUCUACAUUCCAAAGAAUAAAGUGCUAUUCUAUUCCAUCUUCCUCCAGUCCCGACAACACCCUUGAUUGCCUAAGUCUUGUUAUGUUAUGGUCUAAUAGUAAAGUACCGUGUUGCUUUACUAUUAAUAGUAAUAGUAAAGUACCGCUGCCCUGUUUUUGGGUCACGCCUCCUCUACGUCCGUGACGAGCUCUCUUUAGUUUUUUCCCCGCAGCGCCCCCCGUCCAGGUGGUAACAUUCAUCCAGGCUGCCCACUAACCGGGUCAUGCCGCCCAGCAGAAGCCUGAAGUCCCAAACCAGCAGGGUCAACAACAGCCAUUUCCCCUCGACCAUCAGGUUACUGAACCGCCCGGCGAGACCUGGGGUUAGCGCAAUGAUUUACAGCGCCGGCACCGCGGGUCCAACCCCGGAGUUUGUAGACCCUCCCCGUGCCUGCCAUUGCUAAAUAGUCCUGUGAUUAGGCUAGGAUUUGCUGGGCGGCGUGGCGCGGAGGACCUACCGGAAGGACAGUCUCAGGACUGCGACCGCAGAGUGAACAAGGACUGGACGAGAGCAGCGGAGACCAGUUAGCAGAAACUUCACUAAUAGGACGAGAGCUGCGGCCGGUGGCAGGCAAUCGGAGUUGGGCUAAUAAAUAGACAGGAGGUGUAAACAAGCGGCCAGUGCUAGACUGGUCCGGCCUUGGCUGAACAGGCUUGGGGGAGAACAGGUUUGGCAAGCCCAGGCAGAGGUUCCAACAGGGUGGCCAAACUGAACACAACAUGCUAUUCCCUCUAAGCUGAUUGGGUGCAUUGCCGCACAACUGGAAUUGGAAGCAGGGUGGGAAGUCACUCCUAAUCCAUGCUUCAUAACCACGUCGCCUCACAGGACAUCUCCCUCCAGCACUUGCAUGCAGGGAUUGGCUUCAGUCUGAAGAAUAAUCAGAUCUUGGAGGUGGAGGAGCAACUGCACUGUGUCGCAUACAUUUACCGUCCAGGAACAAGUCUUGGAUGGUACCAUUGGUGUCACUGUUACAUCAGCAAGCACACUGCCUUAUAUCAGUAUCAGCAAUAGGCCCAGCCUGCGGCCCUGUAGAUGUUGGCUCCUGUGGAGCUAUUGGAACAUUGACCAAGCACAUCAUUGUUCAUGAAAAUUAGAUAUUGCACUCAAUAGAAAAAAGGCCACUUGACUUCCUGGCAAUAACAAGGGAUACUGAAUACAGGUCUACUUCCACUGUGAUGUAGUGGUUUGUGGCCUGCACCACUCGGACACAGCUGGUAAUUCUCCAGGAGCUGCUCCCCGGCAGGAUGAGAGGAGCCACACAAUUCACCACUCUGAAGAGUUUCACAGUGCUGUAUACUGUAUAAAAAUACUGAUUUCAGAACACAAUCUCAGGGUCGGUGACUCCCACGAUGCUUCAGUCGGUGACAUUGGCGAUGACCACCCCAAAAGCACAUGUCCUCCAGUCCACACCCAGAGAUAUCGCACAAUAUCUCACUGUGCUCGCGGUGCUCUCGAGGCUAAGGUUGCUGUCGUUGGCUGGAUCUACAUACACUGUGGGUUCUUAUUUCAGAGGUGAGGAGGGAGAAUUGAGAAGUUAAUUAAAAUCUGCCUGGUAAUGCUGAUGGUGGUGAACUUGACCCCCAGUCUGUGCAGACUCCUUUUGUUUUUCUCAAAACUGUUUGCAGCUCUGAAACUACGAACCUGUCCCUCUCCCCAUUCUCUCUUCUCCUCCUCCCCAGUCGGGUGGGAGAUACAAAAGUUCAAGGACACAAACCACCAGACUCAAAGUUCAAAAGAUUCAAAAUACAUUUAUUAUCAAAGUAUGUGUGCAGCGUACAACCCUGAGAUUCACCUUCCCACAGGCAGCCACGAGGCAGAGAAACACCAUGGAACACACACAAAAUAAUGGAGGAACUAACCCUUAUGAAGCUGCCUGGCCUGCUGAAUUCCUCCAGCCAGCACGUCAUGUGUGUUGCUCGGAUUUCCAGCAUCUCAUUUGUGAUUGGAACACCAUGGAACCCGUUCACAGAAAACAUCAACUCCUACCCCAACACGCAAAAAAAUAAACAAAUUGCACAAACAAGAAACAAAAAAUGAGCGAAAAACAUGAAGUAUGAAACACCAAACCACAAAGUCAUUGAAAGACUCCAGGCAUAUGCAAGGACAACACCCUAGCUUACUGACAUCCAAACUUUGAACAGCCCUCUCGUACACCAAAGAUGAAACCUUGAUCUCCUAGUCUCCGUCAUUUUAGGUCUCAGCACAGUGACAAAGUGUUUUCAAUGAGUCAGUGGUUCAAUUUAAUAUCAGAGAACAUACACAGUAUGCGACCUGAAAUUCUUACUCUUCACAGACAUCCAUGAAACGGAAAAACAAAACCUGGAAUCAGAAUUGGAUCAGGUUUGUUAUCACUGGCAUAUUUGUGAAACUUGGUGUUUUGCAGGGCACCGUCCAGUGCAGGCCAUAAAAAUUACUGUUGUCCCUCCUUUGGUCGAGGUCGACCGUGGAUGUUAUGUCCAAGCUGUCAGAAUCUGAAUAUCACCAGAAUAUGUCGUGAAACUUGUUGCUUUUGUGGCAAUAGUACAUUGCAAUUUGUAAUAAUAGAGAAAAAAAACUGAAUUACAGUAGGUAUAUAUAUAAUAAAUAGUAAAAAAAAACAGAAAGAAGUAGUGAGGGAGUGUUCAUGGGUUCACUGUCCAUUCAGAAAUCUGACAGCAGAGGGGAAGAAGCUGUUCCUGAAUCAUUGAGUGUGUGCCUUCAGGCUCCCGUACCUUCCCCCUGAUGGUAGCAAUGAGAAGAGGGCAUGUCAUGGGUGAUGGGGGCCCUUAAUGAUGCACGUCCCCUUUUUGAAGCAUCGCUCCUUGAAGAUAUCCAGGAUACUAUGGAGGCUAGAGCCCAUGAUGGAGCUGAGUGAGUUUACAACUCUCUGCAGCUGAAUUUGAUCCAGUGUAGUAGCUAGUUUGAAUGCUGUCCACGGCACAUCUGUAGAAACUUGUGAGUGUCUAAGGUGACAUGUUAAAUCUCCUCAAACUCCUAAUGAAUGCAGCCUCUGUUGUGCCUUCUGUGUAGCUGGUAUUUUGGGCCCAGGUUAGAUCCUCAGCGAUGUUGAUGGUCAGAAACUUGACUACUCUAUCACUCUAUCUACUCCUAAUCCCUUGAUGAGGACUGGUGUGUGUUCCCUUGUCUUACACACAUAAGCCAGUUUGCAAGCCAGGCCAGGACAGCGAGCUGUUGCCCAUGAGGUAAGCUCCCCUCUCCAUGCAGCGGAUGAACCUAACGGAACGGCAGCAACCAGUACAGUUUGGUACCGGUCAGCACUGAACUUAACAUAGGACUGUCUUAGGAACUCCAGCUCCAGAAUUUUCCCUUGGGGUUUACUCCCAAAGCCUCCCCCAUGAGUGGGUGUAGCCACAAGGCAGCAGAAGUUUGAGAUCAGAGUUUUCCUCCUAGGAAAACUCCUGCUGACCAUGUCUGAUGAGCCCCAUCUGCCUGGUUAUAAGCUGUCAGUAACCUGCCUUUGCCCCUUCUCCUGUCAGUAGAAACAGUUCCUCUGGGCUUAGUAGCUAAGCCAGACGUGAAUGCCAGGAGAUAGAUUUGGUUGUCAGGGGCCAUUUGAAACGCUCAGCAUUGGGAGCGUUUACUAGGUAGUGGCAACAUUAAGGAACCUAAAUAUAACUACAACUUACAAAUAAAAUAGUGUAAAAGAUAACUAGUGAGGUCGUGUUCAUGGACCAUCCAGAAAUCUGAUUGCAGAGGGGAAGAAGCUGUCCUGAAAAUGUUGACUGUAAUAAUAUAUUCUCCACUCUGUUCUCCUUCUCACUAUCUCAGCAAACUUACAUGGGGAAUGAUACAGCCCAGUCCCUCUCAGGCCACCACUGAACACACUUACAAGGUGGGGCUGCUUCAAGAAAGCAGCAUCCAUCAUCAAGGACCCCCACCAUCCAGGCCAUGCUCUCUUCUCUCUGCAAUCGGGAAGGAGGUACAGAAACCUUAGGUCCCUUAGAACAAAAACCUUAGAACAAACAUCAGGUCCUGAACUGGUGUGGAUAAUUUCACUCACCUCAACUCUGAACUGAUUUUAUGACCUACAGACGCACAUUCAAGCACAACUCUCGAGUGUUAUUUGUAUCUGCACAGUUUGUCUUCUUUUGUUUGUCAGUCUUUGCCUGUUUAUGUACAGUUUUCAUAAAAAUUCUAUUGUGUUUCUUCUUUCCAGUAAAAGCCUGCAAGAAAAUGAAUCUCAGGGUUGUGUAUGGUGACCUAUAUCUGUCUGUAUGGCAGGCAAUGUCAACAAGACAAGGGAAAUGGUUAUCAACUUCAGGAGAACUUGCACCACCCAUAACCCCCUUUGUAUCAGUGGAAACUACAAGCAGUUUCAAACUCCUCGGGGUACACAGUUUGCACAACCUCUCAUGGCCCCAGAACACAUCCUCCAUAAUCGGGGAAGCUCACCAACGUCUCUACUCCCUGAGGAGGCUGAAGGGAGCUGGGGUUUGCACAUCCGUACUCACAUCAUUCUACGGAUUCUAACAAGCUGCAUCACUGCUUGGUACAGAGACAGGACAGGAGGACUCCACAACUCCCCGAGACCACGUGGGUUUCCUCCGGGUGCUCCGGUUUUCUCACACAAUCCAAAUUGUACCAGUUGACAGGUCAAUUGGUCACUGUAGAUUGUUCCAUAAUUAGGCUAGGGUUAAAUCGGGGGAUGUGCCUCAAAGGCUGGAAGAGCCUAUUCCUCGCUGUAUCUCAAUAUUAAUGAUAACAAAACUGCCUAAUGCAUCACUGGCAGCAGCCUACCACCCCAAUUCCCCCUCCCCAAAAGACAACCCUUAGGAGAACAUCAGACUCAAUUCGAGUGACUGCAUUACUACUAGUUGCUAUACCAAGCUGUGAUGCAAAGCUUUCCAUGUGUACCGAUAAAAGUUGGCGAGGCUUGACGGGGACACGCCAGGUUUCCAGGUCAUCGUGGGAGAGUAGCAGUGUUGGUGAGAGAGGGAAAAGAGUGGGAGGGUAAACGUGAGUGUAAAAAGAGGGCGGAAAAGAACAAGGAGAACACAAGAGUUGGGAAGGCAGAAAAAAAAUUAAGAGUUGGUGAACAAGAAUAAGAAAAAGAAAGAGCAUCGUGUGAGAGAAGAAGAGAGAGGUGGAUGCAAAUCAAGAGGUGUGGAGGGGAGAGGGGGAGAAAAGAGGGAUGAGAGAGGUAGAUGGGGAGGAAAGAGGGAUAGAAGAGGUAGAAAGAGGGAGAGGUGAGAGAGGGACAGAUGCAGAAAGACAGGGACAGAUGAGCAGUGACUGAGGGAAAGUGAGAAGGCUUGUAUCAGAGUUCAUUGUAAAAACAACCAUCUACAAUUACCCAGUUUGUCAGCAGAUGUUUAAUUGUGGAUUUAAUUAAGAAAUCUCUUUAUCACCCUCACAGGCAGGUUUCCUUACCUGGUGUAAACACAGACAUAUAUUUAUAUCCUCCCCUCCUCGCUUCCUCUAUUCCCCACUCUGGGCUUUUACCUCUCCUUACCUGCCCCAGGGUCCCCACUUCCUUCCCUUUCUCCUGCGGACCACCCUCCUCUCCUACCAGAUUCCUUCCUCUCCAGCCCUUGACCUUUCCUACCCAUCUGGAUUCACCUUUCGCCUUCCAGCUAGUCUCCCCCCUCCCCCGUCGCACCUUCUCAUUCCGGCCCCUUCCUUUCCAGUCCUGAAGAAGGGUCUCAGCCCGAAACAUUGACUGUUUAUGCAUUGCAACAGAUGCUGCCUGGCCUGCUGAGUUCCUCCAGCACUUUGUGCGUUUUGCUACGUAUAUGGACAAAGACUUCUUCCCUAAAAUAACGCUCAGAGUAUGGGAGCAACUCCUUGUUGACUGCUCAUUGACGCAGUUAAAGUCUCCGAACAUUGUCCCACUUGUAAUGGGAGUAACUUUUUGAAUGUUAGUUUUGUUCUAUUCUUUGUUAAUUAUGUAAUUAAAAUCAUGUAUGUGGA